rnacentral:rRNA from 1 species
UACGGAGGGUGCAAGCGUUAUUCGGAUUUAUUGGGCGUAAAGAGCGUGUAGGCGGUUGGGUUAGUCAGAUGUGAAAGCCUUCUGCUCAACAGAAGAAGUGCAUCUGAAACUACCUGACUUGAGUACGAGAGAGGAAAGUGGAAUUCCCAGUGUAGAGGUGAAAUUCGUAGAUAUUGGGAGGAACACCCGUGGCGAAGGCGACUUUCUGGAUCGAUACUGACGCUGAGACGCGAAAGCGUGGGGAGCAAACAGGAUUAGAUACCCUAGUA